AGAUGUGCUAAAAUCUGGAACAAGGUGGAAGCUGAAAUGUUGGGAUUAUGGAAGAAUAAGCAGUCUAUAUUCACUGCUUUGGCAUAUAAGCAGGAUGCAAAGGAAGAGAUUGGUAAUAUGAUUUUUGUAAAGAAAUUUUACAAGUGUUGGAAGGAUGAGGCAGGUUUGAUGUCUGGAGAUGAUAUAGAUCUCUUUAAAAUACAGUCAUGCCUUGGUAAUAUGUUGCCACAGUAUUCUUUGCUUGUGAAACAAUUGAUUUCAGACUGGGCCAAUUUGGAUAGCUCAGAUUUUCUUACCAAGGUUAUAGAAAAGGAAAAUGCAGGUUGUUUUGACUUAAGAAAAGAUUUAGGAAAGUAAGGUUGCUUAUUAUGCUCAGGGAUUGCAACACUGUCCACCUACACAGGCUGAGAGCGUGGAUGGGAUGGAGCACAUAAAGCCCGUGGAAGGGGUGGUCAAAGAGGGGCAAGGGGAUGGAGACAG